rnacentral:pre_miRNA from 1 species
UGGAAGACUUGUGAUUGAGUUGUUUCGAACUAUAUACUCCCUAUACGAGAGUAUGAACAACCAUCCAAUUCUUCCGAA